rnacentral:lncRNA from 1 species
ACAGAGGCUGAGGACAAACUAUGGUUAAAUAGAAGAAAAGCCUACAAAGAAUACUGAAAAAGAAGUAUUAAAAGUAGAAGUAGAGGCAGGCACACAGCACACACCUGUGAUCCCAGUGACCCAGGAGGCUAAGGCUGGAGAAUCACAAGUUAAAGGUCAUCUUACACAAUUUAGUAAGACCCUGUCUCAAAAAUAAAAUUUUUAAAGAGAUGGGGAUAUAUUUAAGAGGAAGAGUGCCCUUGGGUUCAAUCCCCAUGACUAAAAAGUAAACAGGAAGCCAAGAUGAAAAGAAUAGACUGAUGAAUGAAGAAUCUUGUUACAAAAUCAGAAAAGGGUAAAUCAAGGUACCAGUUUCUAUUUCGACCUAUCCAAUUCACAGGGAUUUUUAAAAGUUUUUUUUUUUAAAUCAAUAUUAGCAACAGAACAAAUUUGGGAUUUUUGUAUAUUUUUUGGAAAUUGCAAGUUACCUUUCCAGUAAGAAAUUAGUGAAUAUCAAGAGCUUCACAGCUUCAUGUCCUUAACCUAGUCCUUUCUCCUCUUGGGAAUCUACCAUUUAAGAAAUUGGUCACAGUUGUGCACACCUGUAAUCUGAGAAAUUUGGGAGAUUGAAGCAGGAGGAUUGCGAGUUCAAAGCCAGCCUCUGCAAUUUAUUGAGGCCCUAAUCAACUUAGUGAGACCCUGUCUGAAAAUGAAAAGGGCUGGGGUCGUGGCUCAGUGGCUAAGCACCCCUGGGAUCAAUCACACACACACACACACACACACACACAAACACACCCUCUGCCAAAAAAAUUAAGGAUCUUGCCAGAUGCAGUGACACAUCUGUAAUCCCAAUUACUUGGGAGGCUAAACGGAGGAGCAAAAGUUCAAGGCCAGCAUAGUGAGACCCUAAAGAAUUGGGAUAUAGCUCAG